UACGUAGGGUGCAAGCGUUAAUCGGAAUUACUGGGCGUAAAGCGUGCGCAGGCGGUUGUGCAAGACAGAUGUGAAAUCCCCGGGCUCAACCUGGGAAUUGCAUUUGUGACUGCACGGCUAGAGUGUGUCAGAGGGGGGUAGAAUUCCACGUGUAGCAGUGAAAUGCGUAGAAAUGUGGAGGAAUACCGAUGGCGAAGGCAGCCCCCCUGGGAUAACACUGACGCUCAUGCACGAAAGCGUGGGGAGCAAACAGG
rnacentral:rRNA from 1 species